rnacentral:tRNA from 1 species
UAACCGAUAGGUGGGUAGUUCCCACUCGUCCCAAAAACGAGCUGGAGUUGUUUGGGAAGCUCUGGCCGAGGUGCAAAUCCUCAUUCGGUUAA